AACGAACGCUGGCGGCAGGCCUAACACAUGCAAGUCGAACGCUGUAGCAAUACAGAGUGGCAGACGGGUGAGUAACACGUGGGAAUCUUCCUAUCGGUACGGAGUAGCUCAGGGAAACUUGGGGUAAUACCGCAUACGCACUUCGGGGGAAAGAUUUAUCGCCGAUAGAUGAGCCCGCGUCUGAUUAGCUAGUUGGUGAGGUAAUGGCUCACCAAGGCGACGAUCAGUAGCUGGUCUGAGAGGAUGACCAGCCACACUGGGACUGAGACACGGCCCAGACUCCUACGGGAGGCAGCAGUGGGGAAUAUUGGACAAUGGGCGCAAGCCCGAUCCAGCCAUGCCGCGUGAGUGACGAAGGUCUUCGGAUUGUAAAGCUCUUUUGGCGGGGACGAUAAUGACGGUACCCGCAGAAUAAGCCCCGGCUAACUUCGUGCCAGCCGCCGCCGUAA
rnacentral:rRNA from 1 species